rnacentral:rRNA from 1 species
GGGGAAUCUUCCGCAAUGGACGAAAGUCUGACGGAGCAACGCCGCGUGAGUGAUGACGGCCUUCGGGUUGUAAAGCUCUGUUAAUCGGGACGAAUGGUUCUUGUGCAAAUAGUGCGAGGAUUUGACGGUACCGGAAUAGAAAGCCACGGCUAACUACGUGCCAGCAGCCGCGGUAAUACGUAGGUGGCAAGCGUUGUCCGGAAUUAUUGGGCGUAAAGCGCGCGCAGGCGAAUUGGUCAGUCUGUCUUAAAAGUUCGGGGCUUAACCCCGUGAUGGGAUGGAAACUGCCAAUCUAGAGUAUCGGAGAGGAAAGUGGAAUUCCUAGUGUAGCGGUGAAAUGCGUAGAUAUUAGGAAGAACACCAGUGGCGAAGGCGACUUUCUGGACGAAAACUGACGCUGAGGCGCGAAAGCCAGGGGAGCGAACGGGAUUAGAUACCCCGGUAGUCCUGGCCGUAAACGAUGGGUACUAGGUGUAGGAGGUAUCGACCCCUUCUGUGCCGGAGUUAACGCAAUAAGUACCCCGCCUGGGGAGUACGACCGCAAGGUUG